CGCGGGCGGGGACGAGUGCCUGCGAGGGGCCGCCCGCUUCGGCCCCCGGGAAGGCCGGGCGGAAGUGCCUGCGCGGCGGCUGCCGUGGGUACCGCGCUUCCGCCCCUCGCUACGUCAUCGUUCCGAGCCGCCGACCGUGCCCGCGGGCCGUCGCCCGAGACCGCGGCCGGGCUGACGCCCCUCAGGACCACCAUGUUGGUGAUACCCCCCGGACUGAGCGAGGAGGAGGAGGCUCUGCAGAAGAAAUUCAACAAACUGAAGAAAAAGAAAAAGGCAUUGCUGGCUCUGAAGAAGCAAAGUAGCAGCAGCAUAGCCAGCCAAGGCGGUGUGAAACGCUCGCUGUCGGAGCAGCCCGUGGUGGACACAGCCACCGCAACGGAGCAGGCGAAGCAGCUGGUGAAGUCAGGAGCCAUCAGUGCCAUCAAGGCUGAGACCAAGAACUCGGGCUUCAAGCGUUCCCGAACCCUAGAGGGAAAGUUAAAAGACCCUGAGAAGGGGCCGGUCCCCACUUUCCAGCCAUUCCAGAGGAGCAUCUCUGCUGAUGAUGAUCUGCAGGAGUCGUCCAGACGUCCCCAAAGGAAAUCUCUAUAUGAGAGCUUUGUGUCUUCCAGUGACCGGCUUCGGGACCUGGGGCCAGAUGGGGAGGAGGCAGAAGGCCCCGGGGCUGGUGAUGGCCCUCCUCGAAGCUUUGAAUGGGGCUACGAAGAACGUGGUAACGCCCGCUCCUCAGUCUCCCCUCCCCGAAGCCGCAGCCGGGACCGCAGUCGUGAGCGGAACCGGGACAGAGAACGGGACCGGGACAGAGAACGGGACCGGGACAGAGAACGAGACCGGGACAGAGACCGCGAACGGGACCGGGACCGCGAACGGGACCGAGACCGGGACCGAGACCGAGACCGAGACCGAGAGGGCCCUUUCCGCAGGUCGGACUCAUUCCCUGAACGCCGGGCCCCUCGGAAGGGGAACACGCUCUACGUGUAUGGGGAAGACAUGACGCCCACCCUCCUCCGAGGGGCCUUCUCCCCCUUUGGAAACAUCAUUGACCUCUCCAUGGACCCACCCAGAAACUGUGCCUUCGUCACCUAUGAAAAGAUGGAGUCAGCAGAUCAGGCCGUUGCUGAGCUCAAUGGGACCCAGGUGGAGUCCGUGCAGCUCAAAGUCAGCAUUGCCCGCAAACAGCCCAUGCUGGAUGCCGCCACCGGCAAGUCUGUCUGGGGCUCCCUCGCCGUCCAGAACAGUCCUAAGGGUUGCCAUCGGGACAAAAGGACCCAGAUUGUCUACAACGACGAUGUCUACAAGGAAAACCUGGUGGAUGGUUUCUAGGUGGCGGAGCUGAACUGCUUGUGCCCCGCCUGCCCCGACACUGGUCUCAGUAAAGCACUGAGGGAGCAGCUCUUCCACUGGACAGAUGGACGGCCUGGGUCAUUUCAGCACUCCUCUCCCCACCAUCUCCGCAGCUCCCGCGCCCUCCCUAGGGCUGGGCUCAGGCAGGCGCCUCCAGCUUCCCUCGCGCCCCACUGUCCCGGACUCUCACCCUAGUGCCCCUCUCCCUGGACAUGUCUUACUCUGUUGCUGGCAAGUGGUUGACAGUGGAAGCCUCAAAGCUUGGUUUGUGCCCGCAGUGCAAGGGAGACAGAUGGGCCUGCAGGAGAGGCAGGACACGGAUGGCACAUGGCACCCCGAGGCCUCCAGCCCCACCUCACACUCCUCGGGGAGCCAGACGCCUGACCUGAGAGUCUUGCUGAACUGCAGCUUCUUCUUGAGCUUGAUCAGGGCCACGUCAUAGUCAUAAAAUUCCGGAAUUCCUUCUGCUUUUUUCCCAUUGAUGUUGUACUUGGGGUGAAAUAGGACUUCUUCUAUGUCCAAGUCCUGCUUCAUUCCUCCUAAGGUCGGAGGGGAGAGGGCCUCUGGGCCACCCACUUCUCUGUGGGCAGCCUCCUGCCUCUGGCCCCAUGCCAUCCCUUACUGUUCAGCGUGUAAAGCGGGCGGGGGUCUUUUUCUGCCAAGGGCCGUUUGGAUACUUAUAACAUCGUUCAUGACCCAUACAAAACCAUCAAAUUAAAAAUCAGCCUGCUCAACUU